rnacentral:misc_RNA from 1 species
GAAAAAAUUAUAUAAUGAAAUCGUUACAUGUAUAUGGUUGCAUUAUAAUUAUUGAUUAUGGUAGGUUUUAUUAUGAUCAAUUAUUAUAAUUAAACAGUUGUGUACAAUUAUUAUAUCAAAUAAAAACUUUAUAAAGAGAGUUAUAAAUAAAAAUAAUAAUUCUAAAAAAAUGAGAAGCAUUUUUUUUUUUUAAAUUGAAAUGGUGCCUUUUGUGGUGUUGUCUUUUUCUUUUUUCUUUUUUU